rnacentral:rRNA from 1 species
UACGUAGGGGGCAAGCGUUGUCCGGAUUUAUUGGGCGUAAAGCGCUCGCAGGUGGUUCGUCGCGUCGUGCGUGAAAGACCCCGGCUCAACUGGGGAGGGUCGUGCGAUACGGGCGGACUGGAGGCCAGUAGGGGGAUGCGGAAUUCCGGGUGUAGUGGUGGAAUGCGUAGAUAUUGGGAGGAACACCAGUGGCGAAGGCGGCUACCUGGACCGGUUCUGACGCUGAUGCGCGAAAGCGUGGGUAGCAAACAGG